rnacentral:rRNA from 1 species
AUUGAACGCUGGCGGCAUGCUUUACACAUGCAAGUCGAACGGUAACAGGCCGCAAGGUGCUGACGAGUGGCGAACGGGUGAGUAAUGCAUCGGAACGUGCCCAGUCGUGGGGGAUAACGCAGCGAAAGCUGCGCUAAUACCGCAUACGAUCUAUGGAUGAAAGCGGGGGACCGUAAGGCCUCGCGCGAUUGGAGCGGCCGAUGUCAGAGUAGGUAGUUGGUGAGGUAAAGGCUCACCAAGCCAACGAUCUGUAGCUGGUCUGAGAGGACGACCAGCCACCCUGGGACUGAGACACGGCCCAGACUCCUACGGGAGGCAGCAGUGGGGAAUUUUGGACAAUGGGCGCAAGCCUGAUCCAGCAAUGCCGCGUGCAGGAAGAAGGCCUUCGGGUUGUAAACUGCUUUUGUACGGAACGAAACGGCUCUCACUAAUACUGGGGGCUAAUGACGGUACCGUAAGAAUAAGCACCGGCUAACUACGUGCCAGCCGCCGCGGUAAGAC